UCCCAUGUGGCUAUGGUAAGGAUUCCUGGCUCUCACCCAGGCGGCCGGGUUCGAUUCCCGGCAUGGAAG